GACAGACAGAUGGACACUCUCAGGUAUGGACAGACAGGCGGACACUCAUGUAUGGACAGAUGGACACUCAGGUAUGGACAGACAGAUGGACACUCUCAGGUAUGAACAGAUGGACAGACACUCUGACUAACUGAGGGACUCUGGUUCAUGUUUAAUGGUGGAUAUGAGUGAAGGUGUAUGAAGCUGAUUGUGUCUUUGUCUCUUCCUCCAGGAUGGACCAUGGUGGACCGCAGAGACUGAAACCUGG